rnacentral:rRNA from 1 species
UAGGGAAUCUUCCACAAUGGACGCAAGUCUGAUGGAGCAACGCCGCGUGAGUGAAGAAGGUUUUCGGACCGUAAAGCUCUGUUGUUGGUGAAGAAGGAUAGAGGUAGUAACUGGCCUUUAUUUGACGGUAAUCAACCAGAAAGUCACGGCUAACUACGUGCCAGCAGCCGCGGUAAUACGUAGGUGGCAAGCGUUGUCCGGAUUUAUUGGGCGUAAAGCGAGCGCAGGCGGAAGAAUAAGUCUGAUGUGAAAGCCCUCGGCUUAACCGAGGAAUUGCAUCGGAAACUGUUUUCUUGAGUGCAGAAGAGGAGAGUAGAACUCCAUGUGUAGCGGUGGAAUGCGUAGAUAUAUGGAAGAAUACCAGUGGCGAAGGCGGCUCUCUGGUCUGCAACUGACGCUGGGGCUCGAAAGCAUGGGUAGCGAACAGGAUUAGAUACCCUGGUAGUCCAUGCCGUAAACGAUGAGUGCUAAGUGUUGGGAGGCUUCCGCCUCUCAGUGCUGCAGCUAACGCAUUAAGCACUCCGCCUGGGGGAGUACGACCGCAAGGUUGAAAC